rnacentral:tRNA from 1 species
AGAGGUGGAGCUUAGUGCUAAAGCACUUGCCUAGCAAGUAUGAGGGCCUGGGUUCCAUCCCCAGCACAUAUG